rnacentral:rRNA from 1 species
UGCGUAGGCGGUUUGGUAAGUCAGAUGUGAAAUUCCUGAGCUCAACCGAGGAACUGCAUUUGAUACUGCCAGACUAGAGUACUGGAGAGGAGACUGGAAUUCACGGUGUAGCAGUGAAAUGCGUAGAUAUCGUGAGGAAGGCCAGUGGCGAAGGCGAGUCUCUGGACAGUAACUGACGCUGAGGCACGAAGGCUAGGGGAGCAAACG